rnacentral:rRNA from 1 species
UACAGAGGUGGCUAGCGUUGUUCGGAAUUACUGGGCGUAAAGGGCGCGUAGGCGGCCCUUCAAGUCCCGCGUGAAAUCCCCCGGCUCAACCGGGGAACUGCGCGGGAAACUGUAGGGCUUGAGUUUGGGAGAGGGAAGCGGAAUUCCGGGUGUAGCGGUGAAAUGCGUAGAUAUCCGGAGGAACACCGGUGGCGAAGGCGGCUUCCUGGACCAACACUGACGCUGAGGCGCGAAAGCUAGGGGAGCAAACGGG